rnacentral:lncRNA from 1 species
AUAUUUUCAUGCCCUAUAUACAUCCUAGUGAUUAACUAUGAUCAAUGAUAAACCAAGCAGACAAUUUUAACAAAAAUUUAUUCUAAAUUUAUGAAAAAAAUAAAGAAAGUACCUAAGCCACGGAAACCGUAUGUAAAUAAACUUGUUGGAAGCAAAAUAACUCACACACGCCACUGGAAGUCAAGGAAAUUGCCGCUGGAAGUGAAGGAAAUCGCCGCUGGAAGUGAAGAAGCUCGGUGAAAUUCAAGAAACACUGGAAGUGAAGGAACUUUGUGUGGGCAUAUUUUGGGCGAUGUUUUUAGGCGAAUAUUGGGCGAAAUGUUGGGGUAUUUUGUUUUGAGAAUUUAGGAGUAAUUUAGUCCCAGAACUUUGCAAGUAGUUGUUAUUGUAAGAAAA